rnacentral:rRNA from 1 species
GUGCAGUCGAGCGGGCUCUUCGGGGGUCAGCGGCGGAGGGUGAGUAACGCGUGGGAAGAGACCUUCUCUCUGGAAUAGCCCUGGGAAACUGGGAUUACUGCCGGAUACGCCCUUUUGGGGAAAGAUUUAUCGGGGAAGGAUCGGCCCGCGUCCGAUUAGGUAGUUGGUGGGGUAACGGCUCACCAAGCCGACGAUCGGUAGCUGGUUUGAGAGGAUGAUCAGCCACACUGGGACUGAGACACGGCCCAGACUCCUACGGGAGGCAGCAGUGGGGAAUCUUGGACAAUGGGGGCAACCCUGAUCCAGCCAUGCCGCGUGCAGGAUGAAGGCCCUCGGGUUGUAAACUGCUUUUGUACGGAACGAAAAAGCCCUUUCUAAUACAGAGGGUCCAUGACGGUACCGUAAGAAUAAGCACCGGCUAACUACGUGCCAGCAGCCGUUGUAAUA